rnacentral:rRNA from 1 species
GGUUAAGCGACUAAGCGUACACGGUGGAUGCCCUGGCAGUCAGAGGCGAUGAAGGACGUGCUAAUCUGCGAUAAGCGUCGGUAAGGUGAUAUGAACCGUUAUAACCGGCGAUUUCCGAAUGGGGAAACCCAGUGUGAUUCGUCACACUAUCAUUAACUGAAUCCAUAGGUUAAUGAGGCGAACCGGGGGAACUGAAACAUCUAAGUACCCCGAGGAAAAGAAAUCAACCGAGAUUCCCCCAGUAGCGGCGAGCGAACGGGGAGCAGCCCAGAGCCUGAAUCAGUGUGUGUGUUAGUGGAAGCGUCUGGAAAGGCGUGCGAUACAGGGUGACAGCCCCGUACACAAAAAUGCACAUACUGUGAGCUCGAUGAGUAGGGCGGGACACGUGGUAUCCUGUCUGAAUAUGGGGGGACCAUCCUCCAAGGCUAAAUACUCCUGACUGACCGAUAGUGAACCAGUACCGUGAGGGAAAGGCGAAAAGAACCCCGGCGAGGGGAGUGAAAAAGAACCUGAAACCGUGUACGUACAAGCAGUGGGAGCACGCUUAGGCGUGUGACUGCGUACCUUUUGUAUAAUGGGUCAGCGACUUAUAUUCUGUAGCAAGGUUAACCGAAUAGGGGAGCCGAAGGGAAACCGAGUCUUAACUGGGCGUUAAGUUGCAGGGUAUAGACCCGAAACCCGGUGAUCUAGCCAUGGGCAGGUUGAAGGUUGGGUAACACUAACUGGAGGACCGAACCGACUAAUGUUGAAAAAUUAGCGGAUGACUUGUGGCUGGGGGUGAAAGGCCAAUCAAACCGGGAGAUAGCUGGUUCUCCCCGAAAGCUAUUUAGGUAGCGCCUCGUGAAUUCAUCUCCGGGGGUAGAGCACUGUUUCGGCAAGGGGGUCAUCCCGACUUACCAACCCGAUGCAAACUGCGAAUACCGGA